rnacentral:rRNA from 1 species
GACGAACGCUGGCGGCGUGCCUAAUACAUGCAAGUCGAACGAGAGCGCCCGGUGCUUGCGCUGGUCAAUCUAAUGGCGAACGGGUGAGUAACACGUGGGUCACCUGCCCAUCAGAGGGGGAUAACAUUCGGAAACGGAUGCUAAAACCGCAUAGGCCUUCGAACCGCAUGGUUGGAAGAGUAAAAGAGGCGCAAGCUUCUGCUGAUGGUUGGACCCGCGGUGCAUUAGCUAGGUGGUGAGGUAACGGCUCACCAAGGCCGCGAUGCAUAGCCGACCGGGGAGGGUGAUCGGCCACAUUAGGACUGGGACACGGACCAAACUCCUGCGGGAGGCAGCAGUAGGGAAUCUGCCGCAAUGGACGCGAAUCUGACAGAGCAGGGCCGCGUGAGUGAAGAAGACUUUCGGAUCGUAAAACUCUGUUGUUGGAGAAGAACAAGUGCUAGAGUGACUGUUGGCGCCUUGACGGUAUCUAACCAGAAAGCCACGGCUAACUACGUG